CUAGAGUGAUACUUUUCAACUGUCUCAAGUUUGUCCUGUAGGAUAUCAUUGAUGCAAGUAGCCUGAUCUGCUAGUUUAUCCUGUGCCCAGGCACGAAGCUGUUCACAAAAAAUUUCACCAGAACGAAAGUCAGUAUCAGAAGUAAGUGGAGCAUCAUUAAAGCUCCGUUCCAUGAUAGGCCAGUAUGCAUCACCAGCCUUUAUUUCACAUAGACUAAUGAGAUCCCGCCAAGCAGCGGAGUAUGUUUUACGGAUCUGAG